ensembl:snoRNA
UCGCAGUGCACUACACACCCAACAGGAAUCUGGGUUCAUUGUGAUGAGGGGCACAAAACUUGGGGCCUCCCUAUGAGCACAAGCCCUACACGU